rnacentral:rRNA from 1 species
AAUCAACGCUGGUGGCGUGCCUAACACAUGCAAGUCGAACGAGAAAGUGGAGCAAUCCAUGAGUAAAGUGGCGCACGGGUGAGUAACACGUGACUAACCUACCCUUGAGUGGGGAUAACCUAGGGAAACCUGGGCUAAUACCGCAUAAUAUCGCGAGAUCAAAGGAGCAAUUCGCUUAAGGAGGGGGUCGCGGCUGAUUAGCUAGUUGGUGGGGUAAUGGCCCACCAAGGCUGUGAUCAGUAUCCGGCCUGAGAGGGCGCACGGACACACUGGAACUGAAACACGGUCCAGACUCCUACGGGAGGCAGCAGUGGGAAUUUGCGCAAUGGGGGAAACCCUGACGCAGCAACGCCGCGUGGAGAUGAAGUCCCUUGGGACGUAAACUCCUUUCGAUCGGGACGAUAAUGACGGUACCG